rnacentral:tRNA from 1 species
GGGCAUCUGGUCUAGUGGUAUCAUAGUACCCUCCCACGGUACUGCCCGGGGUUCGAUUCCCCGGAUGCGCA